rnacentral:rRNA from 1 species
GACGAACGCUGGCGGCGUGCUUAACACAUGCAAGUCGAACGAUAUAGUGGCGAACGGGUGAGUAACACGUAAGCAACCUACCCUCAAGACCGGGACAACUAGCCGAAAGGUUAGCUAAUACCGGAUGUGGCUACGGGAAGACAUCUUCCUGUAAUUAAAUCCCGCAAGGGGCUUAAGGAUGGGCUUGCGUACUAUCAGCUAGUUGGUGAGGUAACGGCUCACCAAGGCAAUGACGGUUAGCUGGUCUGAGAGGACGACCAGUCACAAGGGAACUGAGACACGGUCCCUACUCCUACGGGAGGCAGCAGUGAGGAAUUUUCCGCAAUGGGCGAAAGCCUGACGGAGCGACGCCGUGUGUGGGACGAAAUCCUUCGGGAUGUAAACCACUGUCAGAUGGGAAGAUAUUGACGGUACCAUCAGAGGAAGCCCGCUAACU